rnacentral:lncRNA from 1 species
AGGCUCCUAAUGCUUGAGUAUGCCAGAGGAUGGCUGGAGAGGCCAUAGAACUACUGAUCUGAGAACCAUCCAAGUCAGCCUUCAAGACCUUGAACACCCAAGGUCUAAUGGUGGAGAGGGGUGAGUACAGACCAUCCAUGGUCUGUGAAGCGAUGGAUUCCGGUGAAAACAUGGUGAAAUAAGGUAAGAGAAGGCUAGGAUUUUGAAGCGCUGUUGAGAGGAUUUGAGAGAGCUUGG